rnacentral:rRNA from 1 species
GACGAACGCUGGCGGCGCGCCUAACACAUGCAAGUCGAGCGAUGAAAUUUUAACCGAUCUCUUCGGAGAGAAGAUAAAAUGGAUUAGCGGCGGACGGGUGAGUAACACGUGAGAAACCUGCCUUUCACAAGGGGAUAGCCUCGGGAAACCGGGAUUAAUACCCUAUGACACAUUUCCUUCGCAUGGAAGAAAUGUUAAAACUCCGGUGGUGAAAGAUGGUCUCGCGCCUGAUUAGCUAGUUGGUGGGGUAACGGCCCACCAAGGCCAUGAUCAGUAACCGGCAUGAGAGGGUGAGCGGUCACAUUGGAGCUGAGACACAGUCCAGACUCCUACGGGAGGCAGCAGUGGGGAAUAUUGCACAAUGGAGGGAACUCUGAUGCAGCGACGCCGCGUGAGCGAUGAAGGCUUUCGAGUAGUAAAGCGCUGUCCUAUGGGAAGAUAAUGACGGUACCAUAGGAGAAAGCCCCGGCUAACUACGUG